rfam:Thermacetogenium phaeum DSM 12270, complete genome.
UCCAUCGCGAGGUGGAAUCCGAAGGAAGCCGGCGGCAAAACCACGGCCUGAUGAACAAGAACCCCAUAAGAGGCUACGCCGUUCGGAUGAGCUGGCGUUACACAGCGAAAUCCCAGGCUGCCAAAGGACGGCGGGGUAUAUGGGGCGGGCGCGGGGUGAAGGUUAACGCU